rnacentral:lncRNA from 1 species
AUUUUCAUUGUCAUCAAAUUCUUUAUAAGCAAGUGAGAUCGGACAGUUAUAAUGGGGAAAAUUAUAGGGGUAGUACCACAGGGUUUAUUAUCACAGGGGCUUUGUUUGGGAGACUUUGUAACAGCAUCCUGUUAAAAUUAUGUAUUUUUUUUAAUUUCAUUUUAUGCGUUUGGGAUUUAUGGGACUUUAUUAGAAAAAGGGGGGGAUUUUCAACACUUUGGACUAUAACUCAAAAACGCUUUACCAAUGUCCAUGAAACUUUGGUGAAUUGUUUAUGUCUAUUGAUGUAAACUCUCUUUCGUUUUUUU